rnacentral:lncRNA from 1 species
AUUUUUGGCAAAUGAAAGGUGCAGGAGAAAUUUCAGGACUGGGAAGAUCAUGCCUAGGAGCUGAGAGGGCUCAGAGUUUGCACUUCCCAGUGCACCAUCUUGAAGCACGCUUUACUCUCAGGCCUCUUCCCUGAAGAAUGAAACUACAAUUUCUGAAAGAAGGAACACUUGGCCUUUAAAGCCAUGUUUGAAACUUGGUGGCAAUACCUGGAGAAGCCAGACAUCCAGCCAUGGUCUGCACCAAUCAGCACAGCUGGGAGGACCUCUGGAUGAUCCCUAACCUCCAACAGCACCAACACUUCUGAUCUCUUUCCCACUUCUUGAUUCCAGGACCCAUUAGAUCCUGAGUACCCAAAACUGGUGAGCAGAUCUACUAGCUACUGUCCUACAUUAAAGACUCUCCUUCAGUUCCAAGAAGCUGAACUCACCAGGUUGUGACCUCAGAAAUCCUCCUCGCUGUGAUUCACUGACAGCAGAGCAACAAGGACUGCUGCUUUCAGCCACAGGCCAUGGGUCUUGCCUGCGCUAGCCCAGUAGCCUGGGUGAGAUGCUUCGGGGUGGUGGACUUCUUACUCAUGUGCACCGGUCAGAGCACUGACCCUGAGAUCCAAGCCUGCCCUGCAGUGUUUCAUCCUCAGCUUCUACCUGUCCGGAAUUCAUGAUCCCCACUCUGGAUCUUGGGAUGUCUGAUAGCCAAGGAUCCAGGGAGACGUAGAAGACCAAGGAGAACAUGCCUUGGCAGAACUUAAUGCAAAAAGACAGUGACCUCUUCCAACCCUUGUGGAAUCAAUUGUGGUUGUGUUUAAUCAUUUUUGGUGGGUUUUGUCACAAAUUCUUUCCAUAUUUACUACACUGUUAUCUUCAUAUUUACGGAAAUGGGCUACUUUCCUUGAUGCCAUUGGACAUUCCCUUUACCUUCAGUGAUCCUCAAAUACAUACAUUUUGCAUGGAUUCUUAGAGCCUCCAGUUUGAAUCCAUACCUAGUAGAUUUGUCACUGUAAACAAAGAUCACUUGGAUGAUGUUAAUACACCCUAGAAUUGCAAUGUCUUUGUGUACUACCCACCACCAAGAUAAAUGAAUUGUCCCUAUUCCUAUUUCCACAUUCAUAUAUAAUACAAAUGCCAUGAAAAUAGUCACUUACAAAUAAAAUAGGGAAGCAUCACAUGAAAAACCUUAACCCCUUAUGAACUCAACCAGUGUUUAUUGAGGACCUACUAUGUGCCAAGCAUUGUAUUAAAUUCUGGGACUACAAAGAAUUCUGGACUAAGAAGUUUACAUUUCAGUGGGGGAAGUGAGAUAAUUCAACAGCCUAAUGAGUGCUAGAGCACUGUAAUGAUAGCCAUGAGAAUCCCUCCUCUGUGCUCCUUGAUCACCCACUAGGGUGGCUCACAGAUGAUCUUUUUUUAUGCCAAAGCCACCCACAAGAUUAAAGCCAACAAGCAGCAGUUCAUGGUGGAAACUUCCUGUGGUUAUCCAGAAGAGGCUAGUUACUAAUGUGCCACUUCUAAACCACCUGACCUUUAAACAAGUUAGAUGUUUACUUACUGAACACCUUCCCUGGUUUGUCACCAGACUGGUGACCCUGACAUGAUGACCCAUAGUUGACUGUCAGGCUGUGAAGUCAGAGGACACGUUUCAAAUCUGGGUCCUGGCACUUAUGAUCAUGACUGUGGGCAAAGCACUUCAACUCUUUGAUCUUUGAUGUUUGUCUUUGCAAAAUAAAAAUGAAAACAUUCUAUACUGUACCUACCUCACAGGACUGUUGUGAAAAUCAAGUGAAAAUGUAUGUGAAAGCACUUUGUAAACUGUUAUUUUUUAAUCACCCCAUUUUCCAUGGGUUCUUUAUCCUCCCUACCAAAUACAAUACCUGGAAUCAUGAUUGGCCAGGAAGAUAUAUUCUUAGCCACCCCUCACUCUGGACUAGUGAAUGGUAGGAAGAAAACCAAGUUCAUGUCCUCAUAGAUAUCUGUUUUUAGUGUGGGAAUUCUGAUACCUCACAGAAUGGCAAAAAUAUAUUCCAGGCCCCACAGCUGGAGUCCACCUGCCAUUUAGACAUUCCACCAUGAACAUGCCACUAGACCCAACACCAGCUAGCUUUUGUGAUAGAUUGUCCCAGGGCCCUUUGUGGAGAACUCACUCUUGGCCUUAGAGAACUGAUCAGACUGUGGUGAUUCAAAGAAUCACCUGGGCUCCAGCUGCCAGAAGACACCAGCCUCUCCCCUUGAAUCUAUGCUCUUCAAAAACAGAGUGAGAAGCUUGUUUAAAGGAGACACGGACCCAAUAAAGAAAACUCUCCCUGACUCCCUGAACUAUUAUGGUUGGAUUAGCAAAGGAGCUUCCUAGACACUCGUUUAAAGCAAGGAUUUGGUGACACAUUUCUUCUUUUAGUAGUUUAUUCCUAAGACCAACUUGUUUCCUUGUGCUCUGAUUUUUAUUUGUUUAUUCCCUGUCUGUCCAACAGACCCACGACAAGAUAUGUUCCUGACUUACAAAUCUCAUAUAGUCCCCCUUACACAAAGACACACACAGACACACACACAAACACACACACACCACAUACAGAAUAGAACACUGAGUAAUGUCACCCCUUUUUCCUAUCUGCCCCCAUGGCCAAACCCUGUCUGGCCUACCAUAUCUGAUGAGUCAGUACAUAUUCUGAAUUGGCUCAUCUAAUUGGAGAUGUGCCUCACUGGAGCAAUCUUAACCCAUCCCAAGUUAAAACUUUGAGUCCAUUUUGGUCCUGGCUGGAUGCUUAAAUGAAGUGUCUAUGGAGUAAUUACUGAUGCCCAGCAAUCCUUUAAAUAAAGUGACAUCUUUCUUCUUAAAACCUACCAGUUUCUACAAAAAGAAAAACACAUUAGGAUGUACCUCCAGGAAUAGCAUAAAGGUUCUCCUGAGUAAAUAGAAUGAUGAUUAUGUAUAAAACAUCUAAUAGAAUUUACAACCCAGAAGCUCUGGAGUAAGACCAGAAACCUAUAAUAGAAAAUUUCAACUAAAAUCCAUGCCUCAAGUUCUUAAUGCAAGAAAAGAACACUAUAAGAAAAUUUUUCAUUCAAUGCUAGUAUCAGUUUUCAAAAUAUUUUUACAUAAUACAGAAAAUAAUUCACAACCUCUCCUUGCUCAGAUAUUUAGUGAAUCAAGAAAUCCCUAGAUCUAAAGCUACAAUAUUGCAUUUUUAUUUUAAUAUUUGAAAUAAACUGCAAAGCAUUUUUAAACAGUGUUUUCUUCUGUAGUUUAGAAUCCCCACUUGCUGUGGGAAGGGAGCCAGAGAGACUCAGAGUACCAACCACCCAAGGUCAGGGGCAAGGAGCCAAAGGGUUCAGCAGACAGCAAGCCCAAGCCAGGAAGGAAAGCUGUUGCUGAAAUCACAGAUCAUGCAUAUGAAACAAGACAAUCUCCAGGUCAUGGUAGCCAAGAAGAAAAAAUAGACAGAGCCAAGUUAGGAAGCAAAUUAAGAUGUGGGAACAGGUAUCAGAGGGAAUAAGUCUGGGAAGGAGGUGGAGUCACCUACCCCCAUUUGACACUUGUCUUACAGUAGCCUUUCAGGUGACUUAAAGCAUUACAUCUUAGUUUCCUUUUGUGAAGUAAAAGUCUCAGUUUUAGUGAUGUUGCCUAAUGUAGCCAAACCAAAAUAGCAACUCCUCCUUACCCACAAGCAUCCUUUUUACUACCUUGGUUGAUAAAAUUUUCAUUGUCACAGAGUUUUAAUUUGUUCACAAAUCUUUGAUAAAUGAUUUUAUCAAUAAAUUUUUUGUCAAUAAAUAAUUUCCUUGGUUGAACUCCAGUUCCUUCUUUGGUGAUUAAAAAUCGG